AAUCCUCUGCCUUCUUCCUCUACUAAAUUUCUCUCCUCCCAUUUUUCUCACUGUUUUCCGUUUCCAUUUCUCUUCUUCUAUUAAUCCCUCUCCUUCCAUUUUUUGACUCAUUGCUUUCCAUUUCUAUUUCUCUUCUUCUAUUUCGUUUGAUACAAUUGUUCCCACACUUCUCCCUUGAUCACAAACUAUACUGUUGUUGCCAAAUAACAAAUAACAGGAAAAAAUGGUGAACAUUGUCACUUUGAAGGAAAAAAAAAACUAUCGUCGAAUUUAUCAUGGCUUUAAACCCAGGACCUGUUGAUCCCGAUGUUUUGUACGACCAGUCCAUUCAUCGAUCAUCUGUUGUAUGGCGAGAUCGUACUACUGGAGAAAUAUCUUGCAGGCGUCGAGAGGCAGUUCUCCAGUGCACUAUCCCACUCCACUCUCGAAUACUACUGCUACUGUGCACAUCUGGAUUCUAUAGGUUGCCCGAUUGGGAUUUAUUUAGUUGGAUUGGCAUCUGAUCACAGCCUUGGUCAAGAGAUGGAGGCCUGAGAUGCAUACAUUUCAUAUGUCUGUUGGAGUGCACUAUCACUCUACAAGACAUAGAAAUGUUGUUGGGGUUACCUGUUGACGGUGAGUGGGUCACCGAAGUGAUGUACGAUGACUGGUCACAAGUUUGUCAACUGUAACUCGGUGUGAUCCCACCUGCCGACAAAAUUAAAGGAUUGAGGUUAAGUUUGAUAUGGUUAGGAACACAAUUCCGUGAGCUCACAAAUGAUGCAGAGGAGAAAACUUUCAUAAGAUAUGCACGAGCAUAUAUACUACAAAUGAUGGAUGGAAGUAUGUUUUCCGACAAAUCAAGUCAUUUUGUUUACUUGAUGUUCCUGCCACUAUUAGCUAACCUCUAUGAUGGGGGCGGU